CCCUUAGAUGUUCUGGGCUGCACGCGCGCUACACUGAUGCAUCCAGCGAGUUGUAACCUUGCUUGGUAAAGUUUGGUAAUCUGAGCCUAAUGUGCAUCGUGAUGGGAAUAGAGUUUUGCAACUAUUAGUCUUGAACGAGGAAUUCCUCGUAAGCACGAGUCAUCAGCUUGUGCUGAUUACGUCCCUGCCCUUUGUACACACCGCCCGUCGCUCCUACCGAUUGAAUGGUCCGGUGAAAUCUCGGGACGGCGGCUUGGUCGCUUGCGUCCGACUGCUGAAACUUGAUUAAACCAUAUCAUUUAGAGGAAGGUGAAGUCGUAACA
rnacentral:rRNA from 1 species